rnacentral:rRNA from 1 species
GAUGAACGCUGGCGGCGUGCCUAAUACAUGCAAGUCGAGCGAACAGACGAGGAGCUUGCUCCUCUGACGUUAGCGGCGGACGGGUGAGUAACACGUGGAUAACCUACCUAUAAGACUGGGAUAACUUCGGGAAACCGGAGCUAAUACCGGAUAAUAUAUUGAACCGCAUGGUUCAAUAGUGAAAGACGGUUUUGCUGUCACUUAUAGAUGGAUCCGCGCCGCAUUAGCUAGUUGGUAAGGUAACGGCUUACCAAGGCGACGAUGCGUAGCCGACCUGAGGGGGUGUUCGGCACCACUGGACCUGAGACACGGCCCAGACUCCUACGGGAGGCAGCGUGAGGAAAUCUUCCGCAAUGGGCGAAAGCCUGACGGAGCAACGCCGCGUGAGUGAUGAAGGUCUUCGGUUCGUAAAACUCUGUUAUUAGGGAAGAACAAAUGUGUAAGUAACUAUGCACGUCUUGACGGUACCUAAGCAGAAAGCCCCGGCUAACUACGU